rnacentral:rRNA from 1 species
GUAGUGACCUGCGGAGGAUCAUUAUUGAG